GCGGGGGUAUUUCAACUUUCAGAAUACGUUCCUUCCCGGAACGUGGUGUAGGUGUAAGUCCUAUCCUCCGCUCCA
rnacentral:tRNA from 3 species